rnacentral:lncRNA from 1 species
CGCUAACCCAGCGGGUACGCGCUGCCGGCAGGGCUUCGGAGACGGGCAGCCGAGCCCAGCCGCCCCCACGUCCCUCCGUAGCGACGGGGCCGGGCCGCUCCUGUCCCUCUCCGCUCUCCCCCCACCUACGGUACCUCUCCCUCUUUGGGCCCCAGCUUGGGGUUGUAGAUGAAGAAACUGAGCAGGGUCGGAGCGAGCUGCUUCUCCUGGCCGGCUCCCGCCGCCGCCGUCGCCAUACUGAGCCGGAAGCGAGCGCGCCUGGGGCCGGCCGCCGCCACACACCAUCGGGGAGCAGCCCGGGGCCCUCCGCCGGCACCGGCCAGGAGCACUUCCGCCUUCCUCCCUCCACCCCGGAAGCCACGGCGCCAUCCCGGAAGUGCUCCCGGGCCCCGCGCGGGCCGCGCUCCACAGCGCCCCCAGCGGUGGGGCGGGCAGCGGGGCGGGGCUGCCUCGUGCUUUUCUGUGAACUUCCAAUUGAAGCAAAUUUCGGUGUGAGUUUUGAAGUAGAAACGGCUACGUAAGACGUGUGGCACUGCUCCGUGCAGGAAUUUCUCCCUGGUGGUAGCAGCUAUUUCUGUUCCGAGGAACGCUGAGCACUUUCCAGAUCUUUCUGAGGUCCUUUGCAUCAUCUGACAUUUCUGCAGGCAGUGGUUGCUCAGUGCUGAAUUUGAUGGCAAACUGCAGCUGUGAAGUUACAGGAGACAAGAGAACUUCUCUAUUAGUCGUCCAAACACAGACAUUUCAACAUGAGGCCGAAGAAAGAUGAUCAUUUUCAGUGUAAGGAGGAAGCAGACACCCAGCAUCAGUUGCGGGAUCCCCAGCAAUGGCAGCAGAAUCAGCAUUGUCUGGGAGGUAACCAUUGCACAGGGAUUUGGAGCACAUCAGGAACAAACGUAAACACAUGAGAUCUGCUUCAGGACUGGGGCAUUUCCAGCUGGUGAAUCCCAAGAACAUGACUUUGCAGUUCACAUU